AUUGAACGCUGGCGGCAUGCUUUACACAUGCAAGUCGAACGGUAACAGGUUAAGCUGACGAGUGGCGAACGGGUGAGUAAUGCAUCGGAACGUGCCCGAUCGUGGGGGAUAACGCAGCGAAAGCUGCGCUAAUACCGCAUACGAUCUGAGGAUGAAAGCGGGGGACCGUAGGGCCUCGCGCGAUCGGAGCGGCCGAUGUCAGAUUAGGUAGUUGGUGGGGUAAAGGCUCACCAAGCCAACGAUCUGUAGCUGGUCUGAGAGGACGACCAGCCACACUGGGACUGAGACACGGCCCAGACUCCUACGGGAGGCAGCAGUGGGGAAUUUUGGACAAUGGGCGAAAGCCUGAUCCAGCAAUGCCGCGUGCAGGAAGAAGGCCUUCAGGUUGUAAACUGCUUUUGCACGGAGCGAAAAGGCUCUCUCUAAUACAGGGGGCUGAUGACGGUACCGUAAGAAUAAGCACCGGCUAACUACGUGCCAGCCGCCGCCGUAA
rnacentral:rRNA from 1 species